GCUGGGGUAUCCAAGCCUGGUAUGGAGCUGGAUUGCUAUAGGCAGCUAUUAGCAGUCCUGCAAACAUCCAGUGUGCUAUGCACUCGAGGGUUCGAAUCCCUCCCCCAGCG
rnacentral:tRNA from 1 species